AACGCGCUCUAUCUCCCGCUUUAAUCAGGAAAACAUCCGCGAGCGUUUGUGCAGCGGAAAUGGACCGUGACUUCUGAUGGCGGGAAGAUGGAUAAGGGCGCAUCGUCACCAAUUGAUGCUUUCGCGCCCAGCGUGAAGGGAUGAGUCGCUAAUUACCGUCUGCGGUGAUCACCCACUGGAUGACAACAACACCUGCAGGAGCACCGCGGAUCAUCUGCCCUCUAGUGCCCAGUACACAUGCUGCUGUUCCUGCAGCUCCGCGGCGGCCAAUGCGCGCUCACAAACUGCGCUCUGAUCAUCAGAAGCGACCCGGGGGCUAGUGUCACUUUUUACUCCUGUAAAUAUUUCCCAUUCCCAAGGUGCGUGCCGUGCGCUGGAAACACACUCAUGAGCUAAUUCAAGGCAAAGUAAAGCUCUCAUCUGGGAUUGGUAAGAGUCUCUCCAAGCACCCCGAAGACUUCCAGCUCAUUCUUGAUUGCACAUGGCAGCCUCUGACCUGCACCGAAGGCACCCGCUGCCAUGGAAGAUUGAUGAUUAUCGAUGCAGAAACCCUUUGCUAAUUCAGCGUACAAGGCACUGCCUUCUCUGAAGAAGAAGAAAAAACCCAGCCAUGUUGAAGUGGGGAGUUGAAUUAUACACAAAAGUUAUUUUAAGUCAAUGAUCAAUCAGAUCUCUAGCUGCAACUGGACAUUAUCAAGUCCUCAGUAUCACGCCGUGCUCAGAGAAUUUACAGAGAAUGAUGGGACUGAUCAGAGGUAGUGUUGGGAGGCCUUGACCUUUGUCUCCUUUUAUAAACCAUGGAGGAAGUUGCGCUUGAUCCCAGUGUUUUUCAGCACCUGCAAAAUGUCAACCUGUUUAGAUUUGAAGCAGAGACACUGAUAGGACCAUCUGGACCUUCACUCAUGACGUCCAGCCAUGGUCUGUCUUCAUGGUCUGCACACCCUGAAAAUGGAUCAGCCAAGACCUCAUUUGUAACUUUUUGACAAGCACAAGUUGAAAGCCCCACUUAAAAAAAGAAGAAGUAGAAGAAGAAGAAGAAGAAGAAGAAGAAAAGAAUCAAACACUGCCUAUAGCUAAAUUGAUUCAAAACUCAUCCACCAUGUAGUAAAAAGAUACUCGCCUGCUGUAAAUAUUAUUUUGGGGAUUUUUUCCACUUGUCAAAACAAAGAUCUGCAAUUGCUAUUAAGCUUAAUCUUCAGUUGAUUGUCUUAAACACAUUAACACAUUCUUGAAUCCUACUCUCAUCUGGAAAAACACCUCUCAGUAAAAGUGUGUCCAUUCCAACUGCAGGCUUUUUUUGUCACUUGGAUUUUACUGUUUUAUUUCUACAAAAUUAAACAUUUAUUCUUACACUCUUAAAAAUUAAGUUUCCUAAAGAGGCUUUUCAAAGCGGUGCCAUAGAAAAACCAUUUUGAGUUUUCCAAAGAAUCUUCCAGUGAACAGUU